rnacentral:rRNA from 1 species
GAUGAACGCUGGCGGCGUGCCUAACACAUGCAAGUCGAGCGGCAGCGAGGGGUGCUUGCACCCUGUCGGCGAGCGGCGGACGGCUGAGUAACGCGUGGGAACGUGCCCCAAAGUGAGGAAUAACUGCCCGAAAGGGUAGCUAAUACCGCAUAUUAUCUUCGGAUCAAAGGAUUUAUCCGCUUUGGGAGCGGCUCGCGUCGGAUUAGGUAGUUGGUGAGGUAAUGGCUCACCAAGCCGACGAUCCGUAGCUGGUCUGAGAGGAUGACCAGCCAGACUGGAACUGAGACACGGUCCAGAAUCGUACGGGAGGCAGCAGUGAGGAAUCUUACACAAUGGGCGAAAGCCUGAUGGAGCAACGCCGCGUGCAGGACGAAGGCCUUCGGGUUGUAAACUGCUUUUAUAAGUGAGGAAUAUGACGGUAACUUAUGAAUAAGGAUCGGCUAACUACGUG